AAAAAGACAAACUCUGAGUUUUUGUGUCCAACUUUAACUCAUCGUUUUAUAUGAAAAUUUUUUAUAAUUUGUAUUUUCAUUGUUGUUAGAUGAUAAAACAUGAUUAAUAUUUUAUGCGUGACUUGUCUUUUUAAUUUUUUUAUAAUUUUUUCAAAUAAGACGAAUGGUAAAAUAUUGGACACGAAAACCAGGGUUUAUCUUUUU
rfam:Oryza glumipatula chromosome 7, whole genome shotgun sequence.